rnacentral:rRNA from 1 species
AGCGAACGCUGGCGGCAGGCCUAACACAUGCAAGUCGAACGAAGUCUUCGGACUUAGUGGCGGACGGGUGAGUAACGCGUGGGAACGUGCCUUUAGGUUCGGAAUAACUCAGGGAAACUUGUGCUAAUACCGAAUGUGCCCUUCGGGGGAAAGAUUUAUCGCCUUUAGAGCGGCCCGCGUCUGAUUAGCUAGUUGGUGAGGUAAAGGCUCACCAUGGCGACGAUCAGUAGCUGGUCUGAGAGGAUGAUCAGCCACAUUGGGACUGAGACACGGCCCAAACUCCUACGGGAGGCAGCAGUGGGGAAUCUUGCGCAAUGGGCGAAAGCCUGACGCAGCCAUGCCGCGUGAAUGAUGAAGGUCUUAGGAUUGUAAAAUUCUUUCACCGGGGACGAUAAUGACGGUACCCGGAGAAGAAGCCCCGGCUAACUUCGUGCCAGCAGCCGCAGUAA